rnacentral:ribozyme from 1 species
AUGGAAUAAAUAACAACAACAACAACAUUAAAAACAUCAGUUUCUCUGGAGGUUCCACGUGGAACCUGUUCCUAAGAUUCUAGCAGGUUUUGCGUUGUUGUAUUUGGCUUUUUUCUUUUUUUUCUCCCUUUCUGGAUUUGUCCCCUGAAAA